UCCAGACUCCUACGGGAGGCAGCAGUGGGGGAUAUUGCACAAUGGGGGGAACCCUGAUGCAGCGACGCCGCGUGGGUGAAGGAGCGUUUCGGCGCGUAAAGCCCUAUCGGCAGGGAAGAAGGAGGACGGUACCUGACUAAGAAGCCCCGGCUAACUACGUGCCAGCAGCCGCGGUAAUACGUAGGGGGCAAGCGUUAUCCGGAUUUACUGGGUGUAAAGGGGGCGCAGACGGCAGCGCAAGCCAGGAGUGAAAGCCCGGGGCCCAACCCCGGGACUGCUCUUGGAACUGCGCGGCUGGAGUGCAGGAGGGGCAGGCGGAAUUCCUGGCGUAGCGGUGAAAUGCGUAGAUAUCAGGAGGAACACCGGUGGCGAAGGCGGCCUGCUGGACUGCGACUGACGUUGAGGCCCGAAAGCGUGGGGAGCAAACAGGAUUAGAUACCCCGGUAAGA
rnacentral:rRNA from 1 species